UACGGAGGAUGCAAGCGUUAUCCGGAUUCAUUGGGUUUAAAGGGUGCGUAGGCGGGUUUGUAAGUCAGUGGUGAAAGACUGUCGCUUAACGAUAGCAUUGCCAUUGAUACUGCAAGUCUUGAGUACAUUUGAGGUGGGCGGAAUGUGUAGUGUAGCGGUGAAAUGCUUAGAUAUUACACAGAACACCAAUUGCGAAGGCAGCUCACUAAACUGUAACUGACGCUGAGGCACGAAAGCGUGGGGAUCAAACAGG
rnacentral:rRNA from 1 species